rnacentral:rRNA from 1 species
GAUGAACGCUGGCGGCGUGCCUAAUACAUGCAAGUCGAGCGGACAGACGAGGAGCUUGCUCCUCUGUCGUUAGCGGCGGACGGGUGAGUAACACGUGGAUAACCUACCUAUAAGACUGAGAUAACUUCGGGAAACCGGGUAUAACACCGGAUAAUAUUUUGAACCGCAUGGUUCAAUAGUGAGAUUCGGUGUUUCUGUCUCUUAUAGAUGGAUCCGCGCUGCUUGAGCUAGUUGGUAAGGUCACGGAUUACCAAGGCAACGAUGCGUUGCCGACGUGAGAGGGGGGUAGGCCACACGAGAACUGAACCGCGGCCCAGGCGACUACGGUACGGAGCAGAAGGGUAUCGGACGCAAGGGGCGAGAGCAUGACGGAACAACGCCGAGUGAGUGACAAAGGCCUUGGGAUCGUAAAACUCUGCUACUAGUGAAGAACAAAUUUGUAAGUUACUGUGCACUUAUUGACGGUACCUAAUCAGAAAGCAACGGCUAACUACGUG